AAGUCGUAACAAGGUUUCCGUAGGUGAACCUGCGGAAGGAUCAUUAAAAGAUAUGGCAUAUUCCAUGUGGAUAUACCCAAUCAACCCAUUCUGAGUACCUUACCUGUUGCUUUCACACAGCGUCUGCGCUCUUUUGUGUGGACAUCCAAGCCGGCAUUAGCUUGUUGGCCUUGGACAUGUGUGAAAGGUAUACAUCAAACUCCUGCAUUACCAUGUAUUCUGUCUGAUUAUGUUUAAUACAAAAAAUAUUAAAACUUUCAACAACGGAUCUCUUGGUUCUC
rnacentral:misc_RNA from 1 species